rnacentral:lncRNA from 1 species
GCGGAGGGAUAGCUCAUCAAGAGUGCACCAAAGUCCCACUUUAACCAUCCUAUCUAACUGUUUCUUUUCGACGAUUUCAUCACCCACAAGUUUGUCCAUAUCACCGUCCAGAAAACAUUGGUAAACCCACUGUUCGAGAACAGCUUCAUCCUCUGGAAGACUCCAAUCCACAUUCUUUCGACAACAUGUGAUCUCCAACAACAUAACUCCAAAGCUAUAAACAUCUGCUUUAACUGUCACCGGCAUAUUCCGGUGCCAUUCUGGUGCUACAUAUCCCCUCGUCCCUCUGAUUCCCGUGAAGGUAUUAGUUUGGUCUGACUUCAGAAUUUUUGCCAAUCCAAAGUCAGAAACUUUGGGGCACCUGCUUUCAUCUAUUAGUAUAUUCUGAGGUUUUAUAUCACAGUGGAUGAUCUGAGUCUCGCACUCUUCAUGUAGAUAAACAAUACCCCUUGCAAUGUUGCGAGCAAUUUCCAACCUUUCAUGGAAGCAAGGUCGUUUUUCAAGUGAGAAGAGUAUGUCAGCGAGGGAGCCAUUGCUCAUGUACUCGUAUACCAGGAGCCUGUGAUGUUCAUCAUGGCAAUAGCCGAGCAGACGGGCUAGGUUUCUGUGAUGUGUUUUCCCAAUGACUUUCAUCUCAUUCUGAAAUUCUCUUUCCCCUUCAGCUAGAACUUUCUCCAGUCUCUUGACAGCAACAACCUUCUGAGUACUUGAUAUGAUCCCUUUAUAAACUGUCCCAAAUGAUCCCCUGCCAAUUUCUUCCUUGAAACCACCAGUAAUAUUUUCUAGCUCUGCAUAAGUGAAAGCUCGAGGAGCAAAUAACCAAGUAAUACAAUAAAUAUAGCAUAAUAGUUUAAGGAAGAUUGCAAGUAGAUCUAACGACAACAUUAAUAGUUGCAUAUGUGUGUGUGUGAAGAUUCAAAAAAACCUAAUUUAGAAAAUACAAAAAAAAAAACCAAGUAAUGAUAGAAAAAUAGAAAGAAAAGUAUUAAAUUCUGUUUAGAUUGUUCACCUAACAAUUUAAAUUUAUUUAAAUUCUAUAUAGAUAUUGUAUUGCGAUUGGUCACGUACCGGUUUGGAUCCAUUUAGAUUUUGAUUUGGUUACCUAACAAUUAAAAUCCAUUUCAAUUUUCAUGUAUUAUCUUUUUAUAUAUAUAUAUAUAAAUUUAUUGUACAAAUAUAAUGGAAAAUGAAUUAUAACUGUUGUAAUCCAUUUUUUAUCUCUAAUUUUUCACAUGUAUUUUCAAAAAUAGAACAAAUCUUCCAAAAUAUAUUUUCAAUGAAAUUCAAUUAUUAUUUAUUUAUUAUUAUUUUUGUGUGCGUGACAAUAUAGAAAAAUAAAAAUAAAAUAAAAUUAAGGAAAUGAAAUGAAAGGCAAGAAAAACUUCAGACCGGUAUGAUUGAUGACUAAAUAAUAUAUGGAAAAUCAAGAUGAGAUUGGAAAAUUUUUGCAAAAAAUCAAUAAGAAGAUGAAAUAAAAUUUUAUAAUAGUAGUUUUCCUGUUUUGAGAGUAUCCCACAAACAACAUAUAUAAACAUGAGAGAACACUACACACACAAGUACACAGAGAUAGAGAGAUUAAAAAAGACAAGUAUACUUUUGGGCUCGUUCUUGGAGCUUACAAGCAAGUUCCAUAUAGGAAAAACCUUGGUCAACAAGAAGAAAAAAUGGCAAAAAUUAGAUUGCUCUCUGCAAGCGUAAUUCAAGCCACUGCUAACAAGGUGACAAAUGAGAGGGCUGAGUUGACUCAAUGUGAUCUAAAGCUUCUUCCGCUAGGUGCUUCUCUUCCUCAAACCCAAAUCAUCAGAAGAUCAAGACUUGUUCAUCCAACAGUUGAAAACGUCACUUUCUCGGACUCUAGAUUUCUUCACCCCUCCCGUGUUGGAAGUUAAAACCGGUGUGGUAUGGGAUCAACACAGUAAUACAAGAUAAAAAAAACUCAAGAACAAAGCUAAACAACAAGAAAAAGAAGGAGAGGAAGCUUGUUAGCCACUGUAGAACAUGAUGAUAACACAGUCUCCAAUUUCAUUGACUGCAAAAAUGCAGGAGCCCAGUUUGUUCAUGGCGCCAUGGCCGAUGGGGUAACCAUGGCUGACAUCCUCCGGCCAGUUUAUGUUCCUCCAAUUGUCCACUCUUUCUUUCCAUUGAAAGGGGUCCUAAACCACGGGGCUACUGAUGUCUCCAAGCCAUUGCAUGCCUGCAGUUCAAGUCACUGAACUUGUUGGUGGCAUCUUUAAUGGCUGUACCAUGAACCAUAUAGUUGUUGAUGGCACAUCGUUUUGAAAUUUCUUCAACUCUUGGUCUGAAAUCCAUCGUGGGUUGGAUCACAUCUCCAAGCCUCCUGUUCUUGAACGUUGGUCACCUCCCAAUCGUAGCUGCAGCUGCCUGAUCCAAAAGCAAUAAGCCGUUGCCUGCAUGCUUGUACCUUUUUUUUCUCCAAAAAAAUGGGUGUAUAAGGGGUAGUUUUUCCAGGCGUAAGACACGUCAUCCAUUAGUGUAUUUCCCGGUUAUUUUCAGUCCUAUAAAUGCAAGGUUUGAUUUACUAUAUCCCUAAAGCUUGAUUUUUAAGUAAUAUUCACCUGAAAACAUCCAAACAAAACUCAAUAAAUCUUUUUUGAAUCCAAAAUUAUCCUCUAAUCAUUCUAAAAAUUAAAAAUCAAACCAAAUGAAAAAAACAUUACAAGCCUUAAAGGGUGUUUGAGAGUGUGGUAGCGGUUGCUUUUCAAAUAGCUUUUCGUGCCGAAAAGCAUGCCAAUAAUAUUUUUUUAUUUUUUAAAAAUCAUUUUUGACAUUAGCACAUCAAAACGAUCCAAAAAAUACAAACCGCACUCAAUUUUAGCAAAAAAUAAAAAUAAAUUUUUUUUGAAUUUUUUCAAAAAGCCGAUUUGGCCGCAAUGCCAAACAGGCAAUUAAUCAAUCUAUCUGUCUAUAUAUAUAUAAAACUGAAAUAUAUAUAAAAAUUGAAAAUUGAAGAUUGCACUAUAUAUAACUAAAGAGUGCAAUUUACAUUGAAGAGGGAAAGUUCUUGCUUUUUUUUUUUUAAUUAUUAUUAUUAAUGUUGAUGUUCGGAUUAGCUUACUCGUACCUCAAUUAAUUUAAAAUGUUCUAAAAUUAACGACCAUGUAAACUCUUCUAGUGAUUCUAAGAUUUAUAAAAUUCAAACCGAUGAUUUUUAAAAAACAAGUCUAGAGUCUAAUUAAUUAAACUAUACCUUUUAAAAUUAAGUUAUUAUUCUUUUAUUCAUAUUGAUUAUUGACAUUUAGCGAAGAUUUGUUUUUUAAAAAUUCAUGUUUGCAUGACUCUCUAAAAGACCCUACACAAGUUCGAUUUUUCUUUUCUUUCAAUUAGAUUUUUUUUUUCUGUUUUCACUUUAAUUAAAUAGAGUCAGGUUGAGCAUCAUAUAUAUUGCACGAUACUCAUCUUAAUGAAAAUAGGAUGAGACUUGGCUAUUAUUUUUUCUAUUAACAAGCUUUAAUAACGUAAUUAUAAUGUAUGUGAAUGAUUGAAUUAUAUUUAAUCGAAUUGUCUAAAUGCAAUGAAUAUAGCAUUAAACUGACUAAAUUCUUUUCAUAAGGGUUUAUUUACUUAUUUAACAAUAAUUUUUAAACUUAAUCCCACAAUUAAUUUGAAUAAGUUUUAGAUCACGAGUCUAUUUAUUUUUUAUUUUAUAAAUGAUAAAAAUAAUAUUAUUUAAAAAAAUAAUAAGUUUUAAUUAAGCUUUUUUUAGAUUGACCAGAUUAUUGGUCAAACCAAGUUUUUUAUCUAGUCAUAUUGAGCUAAGUCUUCUUUUAUUUUUAUUGAAAUUGACUUAAUUAGAUAUCAAAUCACAACUCAACCCUUUAGUCUGUUGAAGUUUUAAAUUAAUGGAUUUAACACAAAUACAAGGUUUGAAUGGGGCUUCUCCAAGGAAAACUCGAAUAAGAGAGCUAUGUUUAGAUGGUGUUUGUGUGUGAGUUUUAAUUAAUUAAUUUUAUUAAAAUUUGAAUUUUUUUAAUUAUUAUUUUAGUAUUUUUUGAUUGUUUUAAUAUGGUGAUAUUAAAAAUAAAUUUUAAAAAAGAAAAAAAUAUAUAUUUUUAAUAUUUUUCAAAUACAAAAUAUUUAAAAAAAAUUAUUGAUAGACUGUUAAAUACUCUUUCAAAUAAAAAAUAUUUUUAAAAAAUAUAUUAAAAGCCCCCUUUAAGCUUACCAAAACCUCAGAGCAAAAAACAAGAAAGGAAAAGAGUAAAACAAAAUGGCUCCAGCCAAGAAAGGAAAACCGAAGGCAAACUCGGCCGUGUCAACUCAGUCAAAACCCACAGCCCCAAGUCCCCAAAACAAUUUCCCAUCUUGCAUACGUGCAGUCCCUCCUUCCUCCGUCGCCAUCACCAUCCACGCCAAACCCGGUUCCAAAUCCGCCUCCAUCACUGGUGGGUCUAUACACACGUGCAAAAGGACUGUUUUGAUUCUUGUUUAGGUUAAAAAAUUAAAGCUUCAAUGUGUUUUUUUCUUCCUGAUAUUGUAUGUAGAUUUGAGUGAUGAAGCGGUGGGAGUACAAAUAGAUGCACCUGCUAAAGAUGGUGAAGCUAAUGCUGCACUUCUUGAUUACAUUAGCUCUGUAAGUCUUUUUUUUUUCCCUUACGUUAUAAGUUGGUUAUUCGUUUUUAAUGUUUUGUGAUAGAGAAUUAUUGGCUUAAUUUUCGAGAAUUUUACAGGCAUGUGUGAUGUUAAUCAAUGCCUGUCAAAUUUUUUGAUGUUUCGGUACUACGCAUAUGGAGAGAAAUAUUUUGAGUUGGUACAGUUUUGGCUGAAUUUUCUAGAGGAAAGGAGAUUUGUAGCAUGAGGUCGGGAGACGAAAGUGGCUUUUUUUUUUUUUGGAGAGAAACGGUAGAACGGAUUCUUACGGUUCAUCAAAUUUUACAGGCAUGUGUGAUGUUAAUCAUUGCCUGUCAAUUUUUUUGAUGUUUUGGUACUACGCAUAUGGAGAGAAAUAUUUUGAGUUGGUACAGUUUUGGCUGAAUUUUCUAGAGGAAAGGAGACUUGUAGUAUGAGGGCGGGGGAUGAAAGUGGCCUUUUUUAUAUUUUUUUGGAGAGAAAUGGUAGAACAGAUUCUUACAGUUCAUGAAUUAAUUAGAGAGGGUUUUAUUUUGUCUUUGGGCUUGCAUGCAAAAGGAAUGGUGAAUCUAUAGUCCUUAUAUUUAGCCUAUCAGUAUUUUGAUGAUGGAUUUGCUGGAUUCUAGACAUGCGCAAUGAGUUAGAAAACAGCAUCAAUGUGCUUAAUGUAGAGUAUUUGGAAGCAGUCAAAUAUUGAUGCUUUUUUUGGGAUCAUGGCUCGUGUCCUUGAGAUUAUUUUGAAAGAGGGUUAUGCUGGCACUUUGUUAACUUCUAUUGGGAGUUUUUAUUAUGAUAGUGUAUCUGGCAUUUUCCUAUUUCAUCAAGUUGGUGUAAGUAUUUGAUGCAAGUUGAGGAUUGAGUUAAUUUUGAACGCAUAUGGUAAUAAUAAUUUUUUUACUGACCUUUUGAAACCAUGAAUUGCUAGGAAGAGUUUGAAAUUGAAAGAGGAUGAAAGAGUAAAUGCAUUAAGAGAGAGGAUGCGAUUUCAUGAGUGAUAUAAUCAACUGGGAUCCCUGGCUUAGCCCAAUAGUAGAUGAAAAGCUUCUCUCUUCCAUAGGAUAAGUGUGAUUUAGAGCAUUUAAUCUUCUGAAAAAAUAAUAAUGAGGUGUUUACUGUUCAAUCACAACUGUAAACAUGGUUGAAUAACUGAAGAGAGUUAUUUAUGAAAAUUAACAAAUUCUUGUCGUGAUAUCUUGCAUUUAGAUAGAGAACCUCCUCUGUUUUAGUACAGAAAAGGUUCACAAGUAUGGUUCUCUCAACCAACAGGUGUUGGGGGUGAAGCGGAGGCAGGUAUCCAUAGGCUCUGGUUCUAAAUCGAGAGACAAGGUGGUGAUUGUGGAGGAGGUAACUCUACAAAAUGUUUUUGAUGCUUUGGAGAAAGUGUCCAAAUGCUGCUAAUUUAAAAAGAAGAAGAGAGGUUCAGUGUGCUUUCGUUAACAAGAGAUAUGAUUUACAUGAUCUUAUACUGAACACAAGGUAUUUGGAUAGGACAACAUUCCUAGUCCACGCUGAUGUUUAAAAUAGUUUGGUCUGUAGUUUUGUUUCUUCUAUCUCACACUGAAACAAUAAUCUUUUUAUUUAAAACUGUAAGUACAGAAGCUGUAGUGUUACUUAUGAAUAUAAUGACUGAUGUUCCAUGAAUAUUCAAGUUAGAUGCUAAUUUAUUCAUCUUCACCAUGGUUCUUCUAGUUCUCAUUUUUCUUUAUGAUUUCUUCCCCCUUUUUUCUUAUGAAUUUCACUAAGAGAUCAUUAUAGCUAUACUUUUGCACGACAGGCUUGCUAAUACCUAGCGACAUGCUGUGAAAACCAUCUUAUUUUGUCCUCCAGCUUUUGAUUCUUCUGGCUGUUUUGCCAUUAAUAAUGCUAGAUUUAAGGUUUAGGUCCGCUGUUGUUAUUACCUGAUUUUUGUGUAAUUCGCCUAUAAAUGAAAUUACUCUCUAGUGAUAAAAGGAAUGGAGUGCAGAUAUUGUGUCAUGAACAAAAGGCUAGUAUUUGUUUAUUGCAGGAGCAAGAGAAGUCUCGGCUCAUACUUGGCCAGGAAAACAUUUAUCUUUUUCACACUGUAUAAGCAUUUUGUCAUGAGGGUAAUCUUAUUGAUUAAGAAUCAUCUAUCAGAAGUGGAGUAUCCUCAAUACAAGUUGUUGCAACUCUGAAGAACAUAUUGCUAGUAUUUGUUGAGACUUGAGAAUAGCAUUACCCAUCUAGAAACCUGGCCAAAAUUAUAGGCUUCAGUUUUCCAGCCAUAAUCCCGACACAUGAGAUAAGGUGGGUAACAACUUUACAGGCAUUAACAUUAGAGGAAAAAUCAACAGGAAGCUCCCAAAUGCUGCGUAAACAUAAAGGAACUCAGUACGAAAUAGCAAUUUUAUAAAGAAAAGGAAUACAUGACCUGAAAAAUAAAAUACCACACUCUGCAGAUGAAUCUCUUAUUCCGAACCACAAAACGCAGCUCAUAUAGCAGUAAAAAAAGAAGUAGGACUUGGAGGGAUUGGGAUUUCGACUGUCCCCUCCAACAUGAGGAGGACCUUUUUCAUUGAAGGGCGGAGGGAUGGCUCAUCAAGAGUGCACCAAAGUCCCACUUUAACCAUCCUAUCUAACUGUUUCUUUUCGACGAUUUCAUCACCCACAAGUUUGUCCAUAUCACCGUCCUGAAAACAUUGGUAAACCCAUUGUUCGAGAACAGCUUCAUCCUCUGGAAGACUCGAAUCGACAUUCUUUCGACAACAUGUGAUCUCCAACAACAUAACUCCAAAGCUGUAAACAUCUGCUUUAACUGUCACCGGCAUAUUCCGGUGCCAUUCUGGUGCUACAUAUCCCCUAGUCCCUCUUAUUCCGGUGAAGGUUUUAGUUUGGUCUGACUUCAGCAACUUUGCCAAUCCAAAGUCAGAAACUUUGGGGCACCUGCUUUCAUCUAUUAGUAUAUUCUGAGGUUUUAUAUCACAGUGGAUGAUCUGAGUGUCGCACUCUUCAUGUAGAUAAACAAU